UGCUCCUAGUACGAGAGGACCGGAGUGGACGCAUCACUGGUGUUCGGGUUGUCAUGCCAAUGGCACUGCCCGGUAGCUAAAUGCGGAAGAGAUAAGUGCUGAAAGCAUCUAAGCACGAAACUUGCCCCGAGAUGAGUUCUCCCUGAGACUUAGAGUCUCCUGAAGGAACGUUGAAGACGACGACGUUGAUAGGCCGGGUGUGUAAGCGCAGCGAUGCGUUGAGCUAACCGGUACUAAUGAACCGUGAGGCUUAACCUUAC
rnacentral:rRNA from 3 species